UCUUCUUGUUCUUGUCCUUUUUCUUCAAAAACAGAAGGUAAAAACGUAUAGAACUUACUGAGCUAUGGACCAUUUUGAGUCAUCUGUCCAAUCUUUCAAAAUUUCGAUUUUGCUAUCCAACCUUUCAAUUUGUUUGACUUGAUUCUGUUAAUGACAUUUUAACUUCAAAAUUUGGAUGCAUCAUUUAUUUUUACAUGUUAAAUUAGUAUAUUACAUACAAUUUUCACAAUUGUAAAUUUAUUGAAGUAAGCAAUUAGUUUAACUUUUAAAAUUAAAAUGCUGUUGGCUGAAUCAAAUCAAAUAAAUUGAAAGGUCGACUAGUAAAAUCAAAAUUUUUAAAAAUUGAAUAUAAUGAACUCAAAAUGGUUCAUAGCUCAGAUAAAUUUUGAACAUUUUUAUCCCCACCCCAAAAAAAAAGCAUUUAACAAA
rnacentral:lncRNA from 1 species